GUGACAUGUUCACUUCAGCGGCACACGUACUAAAAUUGGAAGGCUAGGGAAGAUUAGUAUGACUCCUGCGCACAGGACAGAAACGCAAAUUAGUUAAGUGUUCCGUAUUUUU
ensembl:snRNA U6 U6 spliceosomal RNA